GAGGGUAUAGCUCAGUGGUAGAGCACAUGUUUAGCAUGCACAAGGUCAAGGGUUUGAUCCCCAGUAUCUUCA
rnacentral:tRNA from 1 species